rnacentral:lncRNA from 1 species
CUCAAGUUCCUCAUUAAACAUUUCUGGGUAACAAAUGGUAAGACAAGUCAAAUACACAUCUGAAAGUCUGCUGGAAACAUCUUCAUUUGUGGUAGGAAGAAAGCCCAAGAAAAGAGCCUAAGGGAAGGCUGUCAGAAAGUGAGGAAGUGUCAUACUGAUGGAUCCUCUAGGGAAAAAACGAAGAAUACAGUGGCACGAAGUGGGUGUUUCUGAAAGAGAGCAAUCUGCAAAACUCCAUAGAUUCCAGUGGAACCAGAAGCAGAUUUGGAACCAGAAGAUAAAAGGUACAGAGAAUGGCCAUUAAAACCUGGGAAGUCAUGUAGGUGAGUGUAAGAUACAUGCAUGCAU